rnacentral:lncRNA from 1 species
CAAGGAUGUGAAAAUAGAGACACUGGAAGUAUGUGGUAGCUGAGCCUGUUUGUUUUUGUUGCUCUUUAGGUUUGUCCCAAGAUGAAGGUUCUUGCAGUGAUUGUAACUAUUGUGAUAAGCGCAUGUUCAUUUGCAAAAUUUUGAACCCUUUUCCUAGAAAUUUUCCAAGCAAGUCAGCUUUUGUUUUGGGAAUGAGUCAGAGACUACCAAGACUAUAUUUUAGGUGAGUAGUUUCUCUUUUUUGCUUCUUUUAUCUUUUCAGUUUACAAAAAUUAGAUUUUACCUUAGUCCCAAUUGCCAGUAGUUGGUUCUGAAAAAGUGAAUUUCAAUAGAUUUAUUAACUUCUCUGUGUUAUGCUUUCUCAAUUCUUAUUGUGUUUAAUUUGUUUGUAGCUGACUGCAAGGUCUCUGAAGUAAGGGGAUUCAUAGCGGAGUUCUUGGAGAAAGUCCUUGAACCAUCUGGAUGGCAGGCAUUCUGGCACACUGAUGUGCUUGAGUGAUCUGUGGUCUGGUAUGAAGGUAACUGUUAUUGUUUGUCCUGGCCAUUAUGUGGUACAUGGCACAUUCUUCAUUGGUGACCUCAUUGAAUUAGAAGUGUUACAGGACUUCUUAAGUGAACAUUGUGGCAUUCCCAAAAUACCCAUGGUAAAUAAUAUCAUGUGUAAUAACGAAGAUUAUGAUGUUUUGGUGAUACCUUCCAUUUUCUCUUACCUGCAAGAAAAUGCCCAAGAUGAAAUUGAAGGUAUGCUAUAGUUAGUAAUGUUUUUCAUAUAAAAAUCAUAUAUAAUUUACUUUAUUUCAGCAGUAA